UACGGAGGAUGCGAGCGUUAUCCGGAUUUAUUGGGUUUAAAGGGUGCGUAGGCGGACGCUUAAGUCAGCGGUAAAAUUGCGGGGCUCAACCUCGUCGAGCCGUUGAAACUGGGUGCCUUGAGUGGGCGAGAAGUACGCGGAAUGCGUGGUGUAGCGGUGAAAUGCAUAAAUAUCACGCAGAACUCCGAUUGCGAAGGCAGCGUACCGGCGCCCAACUGACGCUGAAGCACGAAGGCGUGGGUAUCGAACAGG
rnacentral:rRNA from 1 species